GAAAAGUCAGAAAGAGGCUCCAGCAUUCCAGGACCAGUGCAUCGCUGGAAAUAUCGGAAAAUAUAGCUGGGAAUGUGAGAGGCAGACCUGAGCCUCCUGCCUCUGUCUGUUAACCUAGACAACAGAUUUAAAAAAAAAAGAAAAAAAAAAAAAAAAAAAAAAAAAAAGAGGCAAGCCCUUCUCUACCGACGCUGCUGGUCCUCAGCUGGGAACACUAUUUUCAGUUGUUACAGAUUCCUCUGAUCGCUCAUCUUAAUUUAAUUUGACACUGGGUUCCAUUGCCUUUCACAAGAGAGGUCUUGGGUGGCUGCACACCAAUAUGGCUCAGAAGAGAUCGUACUGAGCUCAGUGGGGAAGGAAAGGAAUUACGGUUUCCAACUUUCACAGCUUGUCUGCCUACGGAGACUGUGCUGCAACGUGCUCUUGAAAUCAUUUGGGUGGGCCUUGUUUCUGAGGAAAUAAAGAGGCCCCAGAACCUCCCAAGUGACUGAAAGAAUGAUUUCCAGAUAGUCAAGUAGAGUGGCCUUUGGCUACGUGCAUUGAAUGUGCUUGGCAGUCUCUGCAUCUGGCUGGCCGGUAUCCUGAGGUUAGCAAAGCAGAAAGCCAAUCUUCGGGGAGCUACAAGACCUGUGCAUGUGCCAGGAUUUUCCACAAACUCUCAGUUAAUUGUUUUCUGUGAUUCUUCUCCUGAGACACAAUCUAUGUGCACCAGGCACUGAGAACUAUUCCCUCCCACAACCUCAAAUCUCAUGGGAAACGUCAUAAUUGUGCACAUUUGGGCCAAUCAUCUACCCCACAGGAAAUAGAUGGAUCAGACCCUGGGGAUGAAAGAGAGAUGCAGGGCAUGAGAAAACAGAAAGCUCCUGAGUGAGAAAGGAGACGAAUUCACAUAUGUGAAGCCAGAGAAUGUAUAUGUGUAGGAGAAACUUGGAGUUUCUUACAAGUAAGGAAAUGGUGGCCAGUAGAGGCCGGGGACAGAUGGAAUUCACCGAAGACUCCACCACAGACGUUCUCAGAUGGUGCUAAUAAAAAGAACAAACCCAAACCAGAAUUGGUGGUCCACACUGUGAGAGUUGCUAAACGUCAUCACAAAGCAGUAAUUAUCCUGUAGCAUGCUUGGUGGCUCAACAUCCUGAAAUGCAAAUGUCAAGGGCAUACAGUCUCUGCGAUGUUGCUAAUGGGAGCUCAUGUUUUGUGUUGGGUGGUCCUGUGUUCUGCCUGGUGGUCUUGUUUCUGCUUGCUAUGACAGCGCUAAUGAUUUCAUGUAACCCCCUCUCCAUCCGACAUAGUAUUCACUUGUCUCCCUUUGGUAAUUCACAGCCAGUCAUAAAAGACAGACUACCCAGAAAUGACACUGCAGUGUUCCA
ensembl:lincRNA